GUGAAUGCAGUGGUGGGUGUUUCCUGAAGGUGAUGAACAAUUCUACGGUGUUGUUGACCAGAUUUACUAAAGCUGCUGGAGGAGAAUAUUAUCACUUUUGUGAAGAAUGAGCUGAAAAGAGUCCAGAGGGUUCUGAGUCUAGAUUACGCAGAUUGCUUAGAGAGUCAGAGUGAGGAUGAGGAGGUUUGGGCAGUGAGAAUGAAGACCAGAGGAGGAGCAGCAGAGAGGCCUUUCUGAAGAUCACACUGGACUUCCUAAGGAGAAUGAAGCAGGAGGAGCUGGCUAACUGUCUGCAGAGCGGAACUCAUGCUACAGUGUGCCAACGUAAACUCAAGUCUACCCUAAAGAAGAAGUUCCAGUGUGUAUUUGAGGGGAUUGCUAAAGCAGGAAACCCAACCCUUCUGAACCAGAUCUACACAGAGCUCUACAUCACAGAGGGAGGGACUGCAGAGGUCAAUGAUGAACAUGAGG